UACAGAGGUCCCAAGCGUUGUUCGGAUUCACUGGGCGUAAAGGGUGCGUAGGCGGUCGGGUAAGUCUGAUGUGAAAUCUCACAGCUUAACUGUGGAACUGCAUUGGAUACUAUCCGGCUCGAGGAAUGGAGGGGAGACUGGAAUACUUGGUGUAGCAGUGAAAUGCGUAGAUAUCAAGUGGAACACCAGUGGCGAAGGCGAGUCUCUGGACAUUUCCUGACGCUGAGGCACGAAAGCCAGGGGAGCAAACGGG
rnacentral:rRNA from 1 species